CUGCCGUGUACAGGGGGAUAACAGCCGGAAACGGCUGCUAAUACCGCAUAUGCGCACAGUGCCGCAUGGCACAGGGCGGAAAGCCUAGAUCUUAUCUAGUACGGUACGCGAUGGGUCCGCGUCUGAUUAGGUAGUUGGCGGGGUAACGGCCCACCAAGCCCACGAUCAGUAGCCGGCCUGAGAGGGCGGACGGCCACACUGGGACUGAGACACGGCCCAGACUCCUGCGGGAGGCAGCAGUGGGGAAUAUUGCACAAUGGGGGGAACCCUGAUGCAGCGACGCCGCGUGAAGGAAGAAGUAUCUCGGUAUGUAAACUUCUAUCAGCAGGGAAGAAAGAGGACGGUACCUGACUAAGAAGCCCCGGCUAACUACGUGCCAGCAGCCGCGGUAAUACGUAGGGGGCGAGCGUUAUCCGGAUUUACUGGGUGUAAAGGGAGCGUAGACGGCCAUGCAAGCUCGGUGUGAAAGGUGCGGGCACAACCCGCAGACUGCACUGAGAACUGUAUGGCUGGAGUGCCGGAGGGGCAGGCGGAAUUCCUGGUGUAGCGGUGAAAUGCGUAGAUAUCAGGAGGAACACCGGUGGCGAAGGCGGCCUGCUGGACGGCGACUGACGUUGAGGCUCGAAAGCGUGGGGAGCGAACAGGAUUAGAUACCCUGGUAGUCCACGCCGUAAACGAUGU
rnacentral:rRNA from 1 species